CCUCGCGCGACUGGAGCGGCCGAUAUCAGAUUAGGUAGUUGGUAGGGUAAAGGCCUACCAAGCCAACGAUCUGUAGCUGGUCUGAGAGGACGACCAGCCACACUGGAACUGAGACACGGUCCAGACUCCUACGGGAGGCAGCAGUGGGGAAUUUUGGACAAUGGGCGAAAGCCUGAUCCAGCCAUUCCGCGUGCAGGAUGAAGGCCCUCGGGUUGUAAACUGCUUUUGUACAGAACGAAAAAGUUUCUAUUAAUACUAGGAGCUCAUGACGGUACUGUAAGAAUAAGCACCGGCUAACUACGUGCCAGCAGCCGCGGUAAUACGUAGGGUGCAAGCGUUAAUCGGAAUUACUGGGCGUAAAGCGUGCGCAGGCGGUUAUAUAAGUCAGAUGUGAAAUCCCCGGGCUCAACCUGGGAACUGCAUUUGAGACUGUAUAGCUAGAGUACGGUAGAGGGGGAUGGAAUUCCGCGUGUAGCAGUGAAAUGCGUAGAUAUGCGGAGGAACACCGAUGGCGAAGGCAAUCCCCUGGACCUGUACUGACGCUCAUGCACGAAAGCGUGGGGAGCAUACAGGAUUAGAUACCCUGGUAGUCCACGCCCUAUACGAUGUCAACUGGUGUUGGGUCUUAACUGACUCAGUAACGAAGCUAACGCGUGAUGUUGACCGCCUGGGGAGUACGGCCGCAAGGUUGANACUCAA
rnacentral:rRNA from 1 species